UUUAUACUCCCUCCGUUCGGAAUUACUUGUCGCAGAAAUGGAUGUAUCUAGACGUAUUUUAGUUCUAGAUACAUCCAUUUCCGAGACAAGUAAUUCCGAACGGAGGGAGUAUGUU
rnacentral:pre_miRNA from 1 species